UUUUUCAUCUGCCGUUUACUGUCUUCCCCCUCAAAUACCCUACUCCAUCUUCUCUAACUUCACCUUCUUAACAAGAAGAAAACCCUACAUCAGAACCAUGGCAGCCAAACUCCUUCACUCUCGUUCACACUCCACACGUGACCUUCCACUCUCAUCCCUUCACUCCCACUCAGCUCUUCUCUCCCUCUAUUAAACAAACGGCCGGUCACCAAUGAUGGUGGCGGCGCACGGCAGUGGCGGCAGAGCCACGACAGAGAGAGAACGAUAGAGAGAGAGAGAUAGACGACGGAGAGAGAGAGAGAGAUGCGCAACCGUUUUUUUUUCAGGAAACUCGACGGCGGCGGGCACACGACACCGGAGACUAUCGGAGUUCGCGGGAAACAUCUCGAGUUCACGACCUUUGUUGUUCGGAUAACCGUUCGUUCAUUCGGUUUCUCAAUCUUUACUCGUGCGUUACUUCGAGAAAUUUCCAAACGCAACCAAUGUUGAUGAUGACGAUGCUAUGAAAAGAAGUAGCGUUGAUGCCUAGAUACACAUAUAGAC